AGUUGUGACAGAUAAGUUGGUACAGCAUCAGACUCAUAAUCUAGAGGUUGUAGGUUCGAUACCCACUCAGGCCA